rnacentral:misc_RNA from 1 species
AAGUCGUAACAAGGUUUCCGUAGGUGAACCUGUGGAAGGAUCAUUAAAAGAGAGCGGCCGCCCCUCGCGGGUGGCCACCCCUCUACCCCUUGAAUUCGCACACCGCGUAGCCCCCCCGGAACCCCUCGCGGGGGAAGGGGGAGCAAAAAACCACAAAACGUUCUGACCUCGCUCAGUCUGAGCCAUACAUGGCAAAUAAAUCAAAACUUUCAACAACGGAUCUCUUGGCUCUG